UAUAAUCUACAGUAACUCUUCACAACACAUAAUAUGUUGUCACACUCUACAUAUAUGUUAUUUGUCACCAGGCCUAGAAAUGGGGGACCGUGGGUUCAAAUCUAGCCUCAGACACCUCCUAACUGCAAGACCCUGACCAAGUCACGUGAUUCCAAUGGCAUUAGUCCUCACCACUCUUCUUCCUUGGAAUGAAUACUUAGUAUUGCUUCCAAGAUGGAAGAUCAUUCUUAAAGGAAGGCUUGAUGAUCAAAACAUAGUCAGUAAUCCCAAAAUUCUUCUGUCUUCAGCAACUCUCACUGCCUUUCAGAGAAGCUGCACAAACAGAAUGAUUCCAGGAAGUAGACCAGGAUCCUCAAAGGCUAUAUCACUGGCAAAUACAUUCUGA
rnacentral:lncRNA from 1 species